rnacentral:rRNA from 1 species
UACGAAGGGGGCUAGGCGUUGUUCGGAAUCAUUGGGCGUAAAGGGCGCGUAGGUGGUUCUGUAUGUCUGCCGGUGAAAAGGGUACAGCUUAACUGUAGCUUGUCGGUAGAAACUGCAGGACUUGAGGCUGGGAGGGGCUGGUGGAAUUCCCUGUGUAGCGGUGAAAUGCGUAGAGAUGGGGGAGAACACUCGUGGCGAAGGCGGCCAGCUAGACCAGUUCUGACACUGAGGCGCGACAGCGUGGGGAGCAAACAGG